rnacentral:rRNA from 1 species
GAUGAACGCUGGCGGCGUGCCUAAUACAUGCAAGUCGAGCGAACGGACGAGAAGCUUGCUUCUCUGAUGUUAGCGGCGGACGGGUGAGUAACACGUGGAUAACCUACCUAUAAGACUGGGAUAACUUCGGGAAACCGGAGCUAAUACCGGAUGAUAUUUUGAACCGCAUGGUUCAAAAGUGAAAGACGGUCUUGCUGUCACUUAUAGAUGGAUCCGCGCUGCAUUAGCUAGUUGGUAAGGUAACGGCUUACCAAGGCAACGAUGCAUAGCCGACCUGAGAGGGUGAUCGGCCACACUGGAACUGAGACACGGUCCAGACUCCUACGGGAGGCAGCAGUAGGGAAUCUUCCGCAAUGGGCGAAAGCCUGACGGAGCAACGCCGCGUGAGUGAUGAAGGUCUUCGGAUCGUAAAACUCUGUUAUUAGGGAAGAACAUAUGUGUAAGUAACUGUGCACAUCUUGACGGUACCUAAUCAGAAAGCCACGGCUAACUACGUGCCAGCAGCCGCGGUAAUACGUAGGUGGCAAGCGUUAUCCGGAAUUAUUGGGCGUAAAGCGCGCGUAGGCGGUUUUUUAAGUCUGAUGUGAAAGCCCACGGCUCAGCCGUGGAGGGUCAUUGGAAACUGGAAAACUUGAGUGCAGAAGAGGAAAGUGGAACUCCAUGUGUAGCGGUGAAAUGCGCAGAGAUAUGGAGGAACACCAGUGGCGAAGGCGACUUUCUGGUCUGUAACUGACGCUGAUGUGCGAAAGCGUGGGGAUCAAACAGGAUUAGAUACCCCGGUAGUCCACGCCGUAAACGAUGAGUGCUAAGUGUUAGGGGGUUUCCGCCCCUUAGUGCUGCAGCUAACGCAUUAAGCACUCCGCCUGGGGAGUACGACCGCAAGGUUGAAACUCAAAGGAAUUGACGGGGACCCGCACAAGCGGUGGAGCAUGUGGUUUAAUUCGAAGCAACGCGAAGAACCUUACCAAAUCUUGACAUCCUUUGACAACUCUAGAGAUAGAGCCUUCCCCUUCGGGGGACAAAGUGACAGGUGGUGCUUGGUUGUCGUCAGCUCGUGUCGUGAGAUGUUGGGUUAAGUCCCGCAACGAGCGCAACCCUUAAGCUUAGUUGCCAUCAUUAAGUUGGGCACUCUAAGUUGACUGCCGGUGACAAACCGGAGGAAGGUGGGGAUGACGUCAAAUCAUCAUGCCCCUUAUGAUUUGGGCUACACACGUGCUACAAUGGACAAUACAAAGGGCAGCGAAACCGCGAGGUCAAGCAAAUCCCAUAAAGUUGUUCUCAGUUCGGAUUGUAGUCUGCAACUCGACUACAUGAAGCUGGAAUCGCUAGUAAUCGUAGAUCAGCAUGCUACGGUGAAUACGUUCCCGGGUCU